rnacentral:rRNA from 1 species
CCUACGGGAGGCAGCAGUGAGGAAUAUUGGUCAAUGGCCGUAAGGCUGAACCAGCCAAGUAGCGUGAGGGAAGACUGCCCUAUGGGUUGUAAACCUCUUUUAUGCGGGGAUAAAGGUGUCCACGUGUGGAUGUUUGCAGGUACCGCAUGAAUAAGGACCGGCUAAUUCCGUGCCAGCAGCCGCGGUAAUACGGAAGGUCCGGGCGUUAUCCGGAUUUAUUGGGUUUAAAGGGAGCGUAGGCCGGUCUUUAAGCGUGCCGUGAAAUUUUGUGGCUCAACCAUGGGAGUGCGGUGCGAACUGGAGAGCGUGAGUGCGCGGAAGGCAGGCGGAAUGCGUGGUGUAGCGGUGAAAUGCUUAGAGAUCGCGAAGAAACCCGAUUGCGAAGGCAGCGUGCCGGAGCGAGACUGACGCGGAAGCACGAAAGCGUGGGUAUCGAACAGGAUUAGAGACCAUGGUAGUC